GAUGAACGCUGGCGGCGUGCUUAACACAUGCAAGUCGAACGAUGAACCUCACUUGUGGGGGGAUUAGUGGCGAACGGGUGAGUAACACGUGAGUAACCUGCCCUUGACUCUGGGAUAAGCCUGGGAAACCGGGUCUAAUACUGGAUACGACCUUCUGGCGCAUGCCAUGUUGGUGGAAAGCUUUUGUGGUUUUGGAUGGACUCGCGGCCUAUCAGCUUGUUGGUGGGGUAAUGGCCUACCAAGGCGACGACGGGUAGCCGGCCUGAGAGGGUGACCGGCCACACUGGGACUGAGACACGGCCCAGACUCCUACGGGAGGCAGCAGUGGGGAAUAUUGCACAAUGGGCGCAAGCCUGAUGCAGCGACGCCGCGUGAGGGACGAAGGCCUUCGGGUUGUAAACCUCUUUCAGUAGGGAAGAAGCCGGCUUUUGGGUUGGUGACGGUACCUGCAGAAGAAGCGCCGGCUAACUACGUG
rnacentral:rRNA from 1 species